GUUGCUGUGGUUCAGUGGAUAGGGCUUUGUGUUAAAAUCCAGAAGAUUGUAGGUUCAAAUCCUGGCAUUACCA